rnacentral:tRNA from 1 species
AGUAAAGUCAGCUAAUCAAGCUAUCGGGCCCAUACCCCGAAAAUGUCGGUUUAAUCCCCUCCUAUACUA